AUACUUACCUUCCGACGAUGAGCCAGAUCAAGAAGUGGUCUCAUCGAUUGGGAUCUCCUGCAUUGCACAUUGUGGAGAGGUCCUGGUGCGAGUUUCCUCCGGGAGCCUCGGUCGGACAAUUUUUGUUUAUC
rnacentral:snRNA from 19 species